rnacentral:rRNA from 1 species
AUUGAACGCUGGCGGCAGGCCUAACACAUGCAAGUCGAGCGUAGCGGCGGACGGGUGAUUAAUGCCUAGGAAUCUUCCUGUUAGUGGGGGAUAACGUCCGUCAACGGGCGCUAAUACCGCAUACUAUCAGAUGAUCCUAGGUCGGCUUAGCUAGUUGGGGGGUUAACGGCCUAGCAAGGCGACGAUCCGUAACUUGUCUGAGGGGAUGAUCCGUCACACUGGACAUGAGACAAGGCCAAGACUCCUACGGGAGGCAGCAGUGGGGAAUAUUGGACAAGGGGCGAAAGCCUGAGCCAGCCAUGCCGCGUGUGUGAAGAAGGUUUUCGGAUUGUAAAGCACUUUAAGUUGGGAGGCGUUACCAACAGAAUAAGCACCGGCUAACUUCGUGCCAGCCGCCGCGGUAAUUC